GUCGAGCUCAAUCGAGGGAGACACCAUGACGAGAAUGUCACUUUUGGAGUGGCUCCGAUUGGGUCGUGAUCUUCUUGAAUCAGUGAUGCCAACUGUUGAUCUGGAGGCACACCGAAAAAAUAAACCAGAGAAGAUCACUAACCAUGGCUUCGAACACCUCAUGCAUGUAAGUUUUUCUCUUUUUUUUUUUUACUUCGGUAGAUGUCCAAUCUG
rnacentral:lncRNA from 1 species